GACGAACGCUGGCUGCGUGCUUAACACAUGCAAGUCGAACGGAAAGGCCCUGCUUUUGUGGGGUGCUCGAGUGGCGAACGGGUGAGUAACACGUGAGUAACCUGCCCUUGACUUUGGGAUAACUUCAGGAAACUGGGGCUAAUACCGGAUAGGAGCUCCUGCCGCAUGGUGGGGGUUGGAAAGUUUCGGCGGUUGGGGAUGGACUCGCGGCUUAUCAGCUUGUUGGUGGGGUAGUGGCUUACCAAGGCUUUGACGGGUAGCCGGCCUGAGAGGGUGACCGGCCACAUUGGGACUGAGAUACGGCCCAGACUCCUACGGGAGGCAGCAGUGGGGAAUAUUGCACAAUGGGCGGAAGCCUGAUGCAGCAACGCCGCGUGCGGGAUGACGGCCUUCGGGUUGUAAACCGCUUUCGCCUGUGACGAAGCGUGAGUGACGGUAAUGGGUAAAGAAGCACCGGCUAACUACGUG
rnacentral:rRNA from 1 species